GCCCGCAUAGCUCAGGGGUAGAGCGUAUCACUAGUAAACCAGGUUUAUGAUAAGGUCAUCAGUUCAAUUCUGAUUGUGGGCA